rnacentral:lncRNA from 1 species
UCGAUUGAAAGUUCCAGAACUGCGUUAAAAUUGUAGUUCUAACAUUUACUAGCUUAUCUUAGGUGAGCUUAAUCUCUCUCUCCUUGAGUGUGACUGAAUUCAGUGAGAGAAUCUGCUAGAAAUGGAUUCACUUCCAGCGAACAGAAUGUGAUCAAAGUGAUGGCAUGCCUCUUCUGAAAUAGGUCCAAAAAAGGAUUUGGCUUCCUCCUUGCUCUUGAGCUCACAUCACUCGCUCUGGGGGUAAGCUAGGUGCCAUAUCAUAUGAACACUCAAGCAGCACAAUGGAGAGACCCAUGUGGGAAUUGAGGUCUCCUGCCAACACCAGGAAGGAAUUAAGACCUCCUCCCAAAGGCCGUGUGGGUGAGCCAUCUUGCAAGCAGCUCCUCCAACCCCAGUCAAACCUUCAGAUGACUGCAGCCCUAGCUGACAUUUUUACUGCAAGCUUAUGAGAGACCCUGAACCAGAACCUAUCAGUUAACCUUCUUCUAAAUUCUUGACCUUUAGAAACUGCAACAUGAACCAUUUGAGAGUAAGUUAAUGAAUGCGCCUCCAUUCCUGAAUACUUUGGUGUGCCUUUCUUGUAACAAGGAUAUUCUCAUAUACAGCUAUCAAAAUCAGGACAUUAACGUUAACAUUCACAUUAUGCUACCAUCUAACUCAGACUCUACUCAAAUUUUACCAUUUGUCUCAAUAAUGUUCUUUAGAGCAAAAAGAUCCAAUCAGAAUCAUGUGUUUCAUUUAGUAGUCAUGUCUCUUUAUUCUCAUUUGUUGUAAUACAAUUCCGCAGGCUUUCUUAGACUUUGACUCUUUUGAAGA